rnacentral:rRNA from 1 species
AACUUCUGAAUGUUGACCUCGGAUCAGGUAGGAAUACCCGCUGAACUUAAGCAUAUCAAUAAGCGGGAGGAA